CUGAUGGACCUGGCUGCCAACGAGAAAGCGGUGCACGCCGACUUCUUCAAUGAUUUUGAAGAUCUCUUUGAUGAUGAUGACAUCCAGUGAACUCAGCUGUCCAGCUAUGCAGUGCUGAGAUGUGGAUUUUUCUCUAGGAACGCCUGUGGUGCCCAUUAUUUAUUAAAAUACUCAAAAUGGGAAGAUCGCAGAGGGGGGGGAAAAACCUGUCUAAGCUGCUUGGACAAUAUGAAAACCAGAUGGUUAGAGAUAACUAAGGAGGGAAUUGUGCACUGUUAUUUCUAGGAAGCUGUGUGUAGAUUUUUCUGAAAAUUUUACUUGCUGAUGUGCUUAUUGAAUAAAAUGCUAAAAAAGCCACCC